rnacentral:rRNA from 1 species
AGCAGUAGGGAAUAUUGGGCAAUGGCCGAGAGGCUGACCCAGCCAUGCCGCGUGCAGGAAGAAGGCCUUCUGGGUUGUAAACUGCUUUUACCAGGGAAGAAAACGCGCCUGCGGGCGUAACUGACGGUACCUGGUGAAUAAGCACCGGCUAACUCCGUGCCAGCAGCCGCGGUAAUACGGAGGGUGCAAGCGUUGUCCGGAUUUAUUGGGUUUAAAGGGUGCGUAGGCGGCCCGUUAAGUCAGCGGUGAAAUCCCGGGGCUCAACCCCGGAACUGCCGUUGAUACUGGCGGGCUUGAGUUCGGUCGAGGCGGGCGGAACUGGUGGUGUAGCGGUGAAAUGCAUAGAUACCACCAAGAACCCCGAUUGCGAAGGCAGCUCGCUGGGCCGAAACUGACGCUGAGGCACGAAAGCGUGGGGAGCGAACAGGAUUAGAUACCCUGGUAGUCCACGCCGUAAACGAUGAGUACUCGAUGUUUGCGAUACACGGCAAGCGUCCAAGCGAAAGCGUUAAGUACUCCACCUGGGGAGUACGCCCGCAAGGGUGAA